rnacentral:lncRNA from 1 species
AUGUACAGGACUCCUUAGAGGGGGAAGCCAGAGUGUUCCUGGAUCCCAACACUCUGUCGGAUGACGGCACGGUGGCACUCCGAGGUUAUGCCUUCAGCGAAGAUGGUGAAUACUUCGCCUAUGGUCUGAGCGCCAGCGGCUCAGACUGGGUGACCAUCAAGUUCAUGAAGGUCGACGGUGCCAAAGAGCUUCCCGACGUGCUGGAGAGAGUCAAGUUCACCUGUAUGGCCUGGACGCACGAUGGCAAAGGAAUGUUCUACAACUCAUACCCACAGCAGGACGGCAAGAGCGACGGUACGUGAAUAUUCGCUACAGUGAAGCCCGGUUGUAUUAAAGACUAUGACUUCUUGUAACUAAAAGGGAAGCUAGGUUGACGGACGCCGCUUAGGGUCCUGAAUGUAUCUGACCUUUUCACAUCGAAACACACGUGUUAUCCAUCAACCCAUCGAUCAAGUUAC